GUGAGCAUCAGCCCGGGAUGAUUCCAGCGUGGCUCUCCGCUCUCAGCUGGUCCUGCCUCUGUUCCAGGUCGCGAAUCUGCUUCCCCACGGCCUCGAGCUCGAGCUGCACAGAGUGGAGACAUUCAUCCGCCAUUAAAGCAAGUAACAGUGCAUCUCACGAACCAUCAACUGGCAAGUAUAUAUAGCCACAGCCCAAAACAAUGUUUCAGUGUCUGACAAUGGAAGUACAAGGAAUAGGACAGGAUCAACAGCCAGAGAGAAGAAGAAGAGGAAGAGGAGUGAGGCUGUGUGGUGGAGGAGGAAGAGGACAGAUGUGUGUUCCUGAUGAGAUAAGAGACACUCGUCCUCAAUCACUGGUUGAAGGGUGCAGCCAAAUGUUGGGAGAACAACUAUGUCCUCAAUCAUUCAGACUUUUUGUCGACAGAACGGGACUGCAAGGCAACUUCACAGGUGUGGCGGAGGGCCCCUCUUCACACCUGAACAGGAGGAGGCUCUUUGCACCAUGUCAUAUAAGACUAAUGGAGAUAAGAGUGCCAUUAUAGAGGACAACAGCAUCUUUAAAAACAUCCAAACAGUCAGCAUCUCAACCAUUGACCGGGUGCUGAAAAGACACCAAAUGAAUGUGAAACAGCUGUACACGGUCUCAUAUGAAAGAAAGUGUGAAAUAGUGAAGGAGAUGUGCUAGCAGUAUGUACAGGUAAAACAUGUAUGAGCAUGCAGCAACUGUACUUCACAGUAAACAGUACAACAUCCUAUAGUGAUAUACAGUACAGUAAGUGCGACCUUUACACAUUUGCUAUGGCUGUAAAAACGAAGAUGUAAUAUGUGCUGUAUACAUUUGAUGUAACUGUAUCUUGGCCAAAAUAAAAAGUGAAGGUCAUUCAUAAAUCUAAUUUUGUGUCUUCUGGAUAUAGUGUAUAAUGGAACUGGAAGCAAGUGAACCACCGCACAGCUUCAUCUACAUGGAUGAGACUGACCUCAACCUAACGAAACGCAGAAGGCGUGAUGGAAGUAUCAUCAGCCACAGAGCUACAGUUGAUGUGCCAGGCCAACGAGGCGGGAACAUAACCAUGGGUGCAGCUAUUUCUGAGAAUGGUGUGCUAACGCAUAUUCCCUUUAUUGGGCCAUACAAUACAGAGUGGCUUACAUUUUAUCACAAGAGAAGAUAUUCAUUGUGAUGUGGAUGAGAAUUUGUGUACAUUUUUGUACAGUUUUGUACAGUUUUCCUUAAGGAGACUAUGGACAUAUUUCUACUUUAGUUUUUUCCCUUGUGUUAUGCAGUGCUGUCUUUUCCUUUCUGUAUCGCA